ACUAGUGGGACUCAGCAGCUUCCAUACAUAUCAUCAUGCCUUGCCACUCACAAAAACCAGAAGCUUCAAGAUAAUGGAGAAAAAAGAAGUGAGAUCAUUUGCUUAUCAACAAACAAGAAAACAAUACUAAUAAUAAUUUCCCACGUUUUCUUCCAUUUAAAAAAGAAGAUAAAUGAAAAAAAUGGUAGGGCUUAAGUUAUCAACACAGAUCGAAUACCUAAGCUUUUUGAAGUCUUUAUUCUAUUAUGUAUUCAUGUAGUUGAAUCAUUGCAUUAAUAAGUGCGCCUUUCAAGUGCAAAACUAACUCUCAAGUUGUUUGCAGAAACACUUGGUGCUCUUUCCAUUACCGACAUCAACAAUUAUUUUAUUAUUAUUUUUUUUUCUCUUUUUUCCAUUUCUUUGAAAAAGAUUAGGCUUCCAUAUGCCUUGUCAAUAUGUUAUCUUAAACAUCAGGCUUCUCGAAUCUUGCACCCACGACCUCAGUACAGUAGCCAACUAGGCUGUUGGCCAACAGCAUAGUGUAAAAAUCUAAGUAAUGAAGCAAUUAGUCUUAAACAUAUGUACAUUCAUGUGCGCUUUGAGACUUCCAAGUAAAAGAAAACGAUUUCUGGUCUAUUCAUAUCAAAUCCCAUGUGCAGCUUCAUAGGAAGUUGCUAGCUUCCCACACAAAGAUAUGAUAUUUUCUUCAUUUCUAGGACCAAAAUCAGGCUAUGUGUCUGAAAACUUUCGAACACAGAAUUGCGAGAAGGAACCAGAAGAAGGAAGACAGGAAUCCCUUUUCGCAAUAUGGAAACCUACAAGGAUCCUAACCUGAUGCUACAAUAAUAUCUACAAGAUAAAUUGCAAAAACAAAAAGAAAGAGAGAAAACACACACAGGACUCGGGGAUAUGAUUGGAUAGUUGUCAAAACUAUGGCAAUUUUGAUAAAGAUUUUGUUUUAUAUAAGCCUUGCACUUGAUGUGGGUUCCCAAGAGAAUGCACUCGCAAACUUAAUUUGAUGAUGGGAAGUCUACUAUAAACAUUUGUAUUUGGAAAUCUAGGAUAUUAUAGUUAAGGAUAAUCUUGUUUAAAGAAAACGAUAAUACAGCCUUGGAAGAAUCAAGAAGUAGCUGGCUACUCUGUCUUUCUGUUAGCUAUGCCUUUUUUUGUAACAAACGACAAAUGCAAACUGAGAUACUCUGCAGUCCCUGCAGCAGAAGAAACUGUAAGAAAAAUAGACAAUAUAUGGUAAUAGGGACAUGGGUGUUGUGGUUGUUAGAAUCUUUCUAAUUUGACUAUAGGAGUUGCUUAAAAAUUUAGAAUGAUUUGUCUUUUUUUUUGCAGGAAAUGACAGUGCAUGUGAAAGCACAUGAGAUUAAGAAACUAAUGAUAAUUUUUAGAUCUACUUCAUGAACUCUUUGUCAUUUUCAGACAACUGGAGUUUUAUUUCCUUCUAGAAAGUAAGUCUUGGCUUGUAAAUCACCCCUCAUCAUGCAAACCAAGUACCAAGAAAGCAAAUUUUCUAAUAACAGUAAAAAAUAGUUUCUGUGAUAUCGGAGCCUGUUGAAUAGGUUAAUCAGUUCAAAUUUACACCCUUCUUUGAGAGUUAAUCGAUUGCUGUAUUUCUUACAGGGUGGUACACUGACAAACAUGUGGGUGCGACAGAUGUAAUGUAAUGUUUAACUCCGGGAAGUUGGUGAGAGUCAAAUCGAGGUGGAUAUUUCUGAGCAGAAAGUGCAGAAUGUUACUAACUAAUCAGGACUAUUAAAUUUUUCUGCUUCAGUUGCAGAUUUAAAAAUUAAGAAAAAGACAUGUGAAUCUGAUAGAAUGCCUAAACAGCACGCGGUGUACAUGCACCUUACCAACAGAAUACUACGAUUUUGAUUUAUUUUUUAACCUGUAACUUGAAAAAGUGGUUGUCGCUAGCAUUUCACCUUUUUGGAUUCUCUGAAUAUCAUCCCUCUAUAUGGACUAAGCUUCUUUCCUGCAAUUUUUUUUUUAUUACAUAAAGCUUGUCAUUACAAAACACGGUAGCAUAUGUGCUCUUGGGUUUCUUUACAGCUUUCUCAAGAUUAGGCGUGAUGGUGAAGUAUGAUGUUUAAAGCUUAAGUUUAGUCGUAAAGUUGCCUACAAAUGGAGAUAAAAUUUCAAACUCAGAUAUUGCAGAUCUGAAUAAAGUUGAAUAUAUAACCUUAGAAAGAAAAAUUCAGACCAAAAUCUGGAAAAGGUUCAAAGACAUUACAGCUUUUUUUAGCAUUUUAAUAUAUCUGACCUGACAGUAAAUAUGGCAAAGUUUAACUAAAGCAAUGAACUUUAGGACCACAAACAAGGUUUCUAAAUUUUAACAUUCAUCAAUGUUUAUGUCUUUCUAGUUAAAUGAGAUUUCUUCUCCUUUAAGGAUAGAAGAAAUUAAACUUCUAUGUACAAAUUUUGAUGGAAAAUAAUACUGAAAUUGGAUAUAAAUAUAAUUGAAUGGUCCAUGGCCACUGGGUUCUAGCUGUCUAGCAAAAACUUAAAAAAAGAAAAAGAAAAAGAAAAAGGUUUGUUCCCUAAAAUUUAAUUCCCAUAUCUGAACUUCAUGUCUUUCAUCUGCCAUGUGCAUUAUGAUCAAUGACCAUUAAUGGCAGGCCUGAGAUGAAGAUAAUUUUUUUUUUAAUAAUAUUAAGCAGAGUCAAAUUAAUGAAAAUGAAUAAUUGUUUACAGAAAAAUUUAAAGAAAUAUUUUUUUUUUCUCAAUUUAAUAUGGUGAUUAAUGCAUUUUGGCUUUAUUAUGUUCAGUUACAUGUAUAGCAUGUCUUUGUUGGGCUUUACUUAGGGUAGCUUCCUGUUUCAGACUUUUCCCAUUUGGGUCUUUGUCUUUAAGAAGAGACCUAAAUCUAAUAAUAAUUAUUGGAAUUUUCUGAAGUUGUCUGAAUUUUGAAUUCUAUUUUUAAAAGAUUAUGUUCUGAACAUUCACAACUCGACAGCAUUAUACUCUGCAAUCUUUUUACCAUUUACAAGCAUUCUGGAAAUGAAGACUGGGAUUGAAAUUAUGCACAAGAAACCAAACCCAUAUAUGUUGACUUUUGGAUCUUCCCAGAUUUGGACAGAAGAUAAGCCAGAGCACUGAAAAUGGAACUAAGUAAUUGUUCAAAUUCACAUCAACUUCAAGAGAUGAGCUGCCUGAGCAGGAGCCAUUAAUGGCUUCAUGUGCAAUUUAAAUGAAGCUAGGCAUCCAAAAGAUUUGAUGGGAGUGAAUUAAAACUCUAGAAAAGUGUGCUAAUUUGCAGAUCUUGAUUCCCACAUUGGCCACUAUCAUUUGGGGAAGAACAUCAUAAUUAGGAUUUAGGAGGGUUUUCAUGCAAAAACAAUGAAAUUUUCAUGCAGAAUUUAUGAGGUAUCAGAUGGAGUUCUGCUCAUGUAUUAAUGGCUUUAAUCAAUGGUGGAGUUGAGAGUAAAUUUGGGGGUCAUGCAGAGACAAUGGCAACAAAAUCCAAAAUCUGAUGUCGGAAACAAACAGAAGCUUAGUGCUCUAAGCAACUAAUUUUAAACAUUAAUCAUUGAACAUAAACUCUACUGUCUUAUCUGUUAAUUUUAUGAUUUGUUGGGCCAUCCUCAUCCACUCUUUUAUCCAAAUAUCCAACAAACUCCAGUACCUGAACGCUGUAGUUAUUAUCUUUUCUUUCUUUUCUUUUAUUUUUCGUUUCACAUAAGAAAAAAAUUCAAAUAAAUUUUUAUAAAUCAUUUAUAGUUUAUUCACUUUUAAAAAAUGAAAAUAUCAAAAAUAAAAAAAACGAAAUUUUCCAUUCCAAAUAAAAAAUUAAUUAAAUUAAAUUAUUGUGAAAAUUUUUUAUUUUAAACAAAGAGUUAUUGUUUGAUGGAAUGUAGAGUAAAAUAAGGGUGUUUUUAGUAAAGGUUUAUAAAAUAAGGAUUUCAUAAUUUUUAAACCUCUAUAAUUUAUUAUUGUUCAAAAAAGGAAUAUAAUAUUUUUGAAGAUAUUUGCAGAUUUUUAGAAGAAAACUUCCCAAUUCUCCAAUUUAUUGAACCGUAAAUGAAGGGUUUUGAGGUUUUUGAGAAGGGAAAUUUCUAAAUUAGUUAAUUUAAAAAAUAUAUUAAAAUAUCGCUGAAAUUUUAAAAGAUUUAUUUAUUAAUUAUUUUACUAAUUUUCUACUAUUUAAUCUCCCAUUAAAUAAUUUCUUAAUUCUAUAAAAAUAUAUUUUAAACUUUUUACAACUGCUAGAAUCAUACACUAAUCACAAUUAUCUAAAACUGAAGAUGUUAAACUGCAACUUCUGUUGUAAUAACCAACCACAUUAAGCUCGGAAGUAGGAAGAUUAGUUAAUAAAAUGUAAUAUACAAAAAAGGGUUGGUGUUUGAGAAGGAAUUACAAAUAUGCCAUUGUAUAUCACGAGACUUGUCACUGUCCUUAAAACAAAUGCAAUGCACCCAACUGCUAAUCAAUCUAAUAAUGCAUUUUGGGGAAAGGAGAUAUCACGAAAAGAUACUUAAUAUCCCUCCAAAAACUUGCAUGGUUAAAACCAAAAUCAAGAGCGGCUAAACGCGUCAAAAAAUCUCUAUUUGUAAGACUCAUGCCCAAUCCCAUUCACCCACGUGUUUCUUUAACGCGGCUUUGAAAGCAUAGCAAUCAACCAAUAACAAAUAAUAAUACCAAAAAUUGCACAAACACAAGUGUUGUGGACCUCUCCACUUGAAUCCCAUUUCCCAAUUUUCCAAAAUCUUGUUUACUAAAGAGUCAGAGCUCAUUUUGUUGCCUUCCAAUUCCUAAUUCCUAUUUUUUUUUAUUAUAUAAAGCCAGUACAGGAAGAAAAUUUUUGGUAGAGAUUUUGCAACCCACUUAUAGAAAGUUAAUUACUUUGAAAUUUUACAAGAUUUUUUUUUUGUGUGCAGUUGUGGUUAUAAAUAUAGUCCAAUUUCACAUUCAUCGUCGUUCCUCUGCAGAGUUCCUUCCCACAAAGGAGCUUUCAGCUUUUGGGUGUCAUUUUCAUAGCAAUUGGCUGUUGGUACUUUUUUUCUUCUACUCUUCUAGUGUUGGCUAUUUCAUAUUCUCUCACACAAUGUUGCACAAGAAAUCCGCCAAAAAUCAUUUUAAAUCUUAUUUUCACAUUUCACACCCAUUUAUUCUAUAGUUGAAUUAGAAAUUAAUUUGCUUAUUUCUGUUUUCAAUGGCAAUAAUGGAUUUUCCAGGUGAUGCUUAAACGAGGAGGCUGAGGCUCUCAAUUGUCAAAGCUCAAUAACUAACCCCCAAAAGACUCUCUCUUUCACUCACUCUCUCUCUCUCUCUCUCUUCCCAUCUGUUCAAAUCUUCUUAUAUAUUUCUUCACUUGACAGCCCUACAAUACAAACCCACCAACAUUCUCACUUGUCAUUGCUUGUAAACAAAAUGCAAGCUCAUCCCUUUUCCCCUCUCUUCCUCUUCUUCCUCUGUUUCCCAUUUUUGCUCAAUGUAAGCCCACUUUAAUUCCCAUUUGCUCUUCUUUUCAAUUGAUUUUUAAAAAAGUUUCUUUCUUUGUUAUUGUUUCUGAUUCUUGUUCUUGUUUUUGUUGGUUUCUUGGGCAAUGCAGGUGAGUUUAGCCGGUGCCAGGGUUCUGCUGGCCGGUGACAGUCCAUUUACGCCAAAAGCAUAUCUUAUCCGGUACUGGGACAAGGAGAUCCACAGCAAUUUACCAAAAUCUACAUUCAUUUUAUCCAAAGCUUCCCCAUUGAACGCCGUGGACGCCGCCACUUUUACCAAACUCGCCUCCCAAAAUGCCCUCUCCACGAAGUUUCCUGCUUUCUGUUCCUCCGCCAAGCUCUUCUGCUUCCCUGAUUUAGCGCCCAGUCUAGAUAAGCACGAUGGUAACUCUAACUUUGCGGUCUAUUUUGACAAGAACUUUACCAAUUACGGCACGGAUUCGGUGAACGGAGUCGACUCGUUCAAGAACUAUUCAGAUGGAGAAAAUAUCCCUGUGAAUUCUUUUCGCCGAUAUGGUCGUGACUCCAUCGAUCAUAACGAAAAGUUUUCUGCUUAUGGUCCUGAUGGGAACGUCGUCGACCAAAGCUUCAACACCUACGGUGCCCAUAGCAGCGGUGGCGCUGGCGAGUUCAAGGAAUACAAUGACCAGGUGAAUGUACCAGAUCUCCGUUUCGCAUCUUAUUCAGAUCACGGGAAUCGCAAGGCCCAAAAAUUCUCAAGCUAUACAGGGGAUACAAACUCCGGCAGUGAAUCGUUCACCAGUUAUGGGAAGAAUGGGGUAGCAACCCCUAAUGAGUUUACGAGUUAUGCAGACGACUCGAAUGUGAUUGGGUCGGAAUUUACAAAUUACGGCGAGGAUAGCAAUGGGGCUAAUAAUACCUUCAAGUCUUAUGGGUCGAACGGAAAUGUUCCAGAGAACAAUUUCAAGAACUACGGCGCUGAAGGAACUGUUAGUGUUGAUUCCUUCACCUCUUACAGGGAAGAAUCCAAUGUGGGUGACGAUUCCUUCCAAUCUUAUGCUAAAAAAUCAAGUGCUGGAGCUGCAUAUUUCAAAAAUUAUGGCCAAUCUUUCAAUGAGGGUUCUGAUACAUUUACUGGGUAUGGUGAAGGAGCAAAUGAGCCGAAGGUUGGGUUCAAGAUCUAUGGAGAGAACUCCACUUUCAAAGAGUACGCCGAUAAAAAGACCACCUCCUUUUCCGAUUACAGAAAACAAAGCUCUGCUACUGCUUCCGAUGAAAAAACAGCAAAGACAGCCAGUGGUAGUUUGGUAAAUAAGUGGAUUGAGCCUGGCAAAUUCUUCCGUGAGUCUGAGCUGAAGAAGGGGAACGUGAUGCCUAUGCCUGACAUUAGAGAUAAAAUGCCAAAAAGGUCAUUUUUGCCCCGGACAAUCACCUCAAAAUUACCAUUUUCCACCUCCAAUAUCGCUUCAUUGAAGGAAACUUUCCACGCUGCUGAUAAUUCCACCAUGGAGAAGAUAAUUAAGGACGCCCUUGAGGAAUGCGAAAGAGCCCCCACUCCCGGCGAGACCAAGCGCUGCGUCGGCUCCGCCGAGGACUUGAUCGACUUUGCCACUUCCGUCUUGGGCCGCAAUGUGGUGGUCCGUACAACUGCAAACGUGAACGGGUCAAAGAAGAAAAUCAUGAUCGGAUCAAUCAAAGGAAUCAACGGUGGUAAAGUGACCAAGUCAGUAUCUUGCCAUCAGAGUUUGUUCCCUUAUUUGCUCUAUUACUGCCACUCGGUUCCCAAAGUUCGGGUAUACGAAGCGGACAUUUUGGAUCCGAAUAGCAAGGCUAAGAUUAAUCACGGUGUUGCCAUUUGUCAUCUCGAUACUUCCGUUUGGAGCCCCAGCCAUGGUGCAUUCUUGGCUUUGGGUUCGGGUCCAGGUAAGAUCGAGGUAUGUCACUGGAUUUUCGAGAAUGAUAUGACUUGGGUUACCGCGGAUAAUUAAACUUGUGGAACAGAGGUUGGAUUGGAUUGUGUGAUUUUUGGCAUCGCCUCUGAUUUGGGUUUGAACCGCUGGCUAAGAAAAGUUAGCCGAUGGGUUGAUCUUUAGAGCAGAGUUAAAUUAGAGUGUUUUUAAUUAUAAGUCGUGGGUUUCUUAUUUAUUUGCGACAAGGUUAUGUCGUUUUGAGAAAAACUUAUUAUUGUCAAUUAUAAAUAUUUUGUCAAUAAUAAAUCUCUCAUCGAUGAUGAGAUCUUGUUGGAAUUUAAUUUUGCAUUUUUUUUAAAUUUUAGAAUUCCUAAAACAGAAUUACACUAUUAUUAAGACAUUAAAACAAUAGAAAAAUAACAAAGAUGAUAAAGGAAAUAAAUAAAUGAAAAGGACAAAGGGUAAAGUUAAGAAGGAAAUAAGAAAAAGAAGAGAACAACAGAGAAGGAAAUGAGUGCAUAAGAAAAUAAUAAUAAUAAUAAUAAUCAAAUUCAACCAAAUUUAAAUUUUUUUAUAUUUAUUUUGAAUUUAAACUAGAUUCCUGAUUUAGAUUUUGAUAUUAUUGUUUUUUUAGGCAGAGUUAAUGGUGAUUGAUCAAGGAUUAAGCCAAUAAAUUAGACUAUUUAUUCGAUUUGAUUUUUUUUAUUAAUUUCAAUUAAUUAAUAUAUAGCUGAAUCAAGAAUUAAAAUUUAUAAAAUCUUCGAAUCAAUUUGCAUUUAAUAAAUUAAAAAUCAAAUUAAUUUUAUUUGAAUUUUUAAUUUAAUGUUGAGAAGUACAAUACACCCCUCCCCUUCUCUCUGUACAUAUAAUAUAUUCAAUUUUGGCAUGAUAUUUAAUUUGAUGAAGUAAAAUUUUUUAAUAAUUAUUUUUUUCUUCUGAAAAAUAACACUUUUAAGAUAAUAAAAAAAUAUAAUUAUGUUAAAAUAUAUUAAAUAUGUUGGAUUAGUCGAAAUUUCUAAAUGGUAAAAAUUUUUAAAUUAUAGAGAUUAAAUAUUAAAAAAUUUAAUAAUUAAAAUUAAUAAAUUUUUUAAAAUAUUAUAAAUGUUUUAAUAUAUUUUUUAAAAUUAAAUUAUAAUAUAAGAAUUAAAUAGAAAAUUUUAUAUUUUAUAUUUAUAAAAUUAUUUGAUUGGUGUGUCACCAUACAACCUGUUCAGGUGGCACUGCCACCUCGUUCUCCUUAUAUUGUACUAUACAUUUCAAUGUGGAGAAAUUAUUGGCGAUUCCAGAUAUCGCCUCAUCAUACCUGAUAUACUAUGAGUAUAUAAUAUUAUUCCAUAAUUACAAUGACUAAAAAAAAUAUUUUUUUAAAAAUAUUCUAUAAAUGUCUUUUAUUAUGGGCACUAGACAACCUGUUUAGGUGGCACUGCCACCUCAUCCUCCUUUGAUAUAGGAAAUGUCUUUCUACACUUAGAAACCUAACAGAAAUCUAAAGAUCACAAAAUUAACAGAAAGCGUUUCAAAGCUCUACGAUACAAACUGGGCUUAAAAGCCGCUAAAAAGGGAGAAGACACACAACAACUAGUGCCUCAUUAUAAUUUUUCUUGACCAAUUAUUUAUAAUUUGAAGGAAAGAAAAAUGUCAAAUUUAAAUUUUAUGUGUUUAAAUAAUUUUUUUUAUAUUGUUCUUUGUAUUUAUCUGUUUAUAAUAAAGAAAAAAUAUACAAUAUACUCUUUUUAUCAGAACAUAAAAUAUAUUAUUGAUGAAACACAAAUCACUAUUUUUAUACGAGAAUCAAUUAAUAAAUUUAUAAAUUUUAAUAUAAAUUUCAGUUUUUAGUGAUAAAAAUAGCUGUAUGUAUAAAUAAAUUAACCACAAACUGAAUUAUUUAUCCUCUCAUAUUAAUGCAUAUUUAUUAAAUCCUUAUUACAAUUAUGCCAUAAUUAAAGUAUACGGUACUUUUGGAUUAAUUGAAUCAAUGCCUGUGGAAUUUUAAAUUUAGCUAUAUUGUUUGUGUAAAAUUAUUUAUAUUUAAAAAAUGUUUUUUAAAAAUAGUUUUUAUGAAAACUUUUUUUAAGGGAGUAAUUUAUUUUGAUGAUUUAAUUUAAAUUUAAAUUUCUAAUAAGUGUUUAUAGUGUAGAAAACAAAUUUAUUUUUUAAAAUAAUUUGAUGAUAAUGUAUAAAUAAAAGGAUCUAUUGAUAUUCUGACACAUGUUUACAGGAUUUAUAAGGGUUGUUUGAACCUUUCAAUGUGAACCAACCGAGCAGUAGAAAAUUCGACUUAUGAGAUAUUAAAAUCGUAUCAUCAAUAUCUUUUACCCUAUUAAAAUUGGGAAUAGAAGAAUAAACAUUUUCAAAAUUUGUGCUACAAUAGAGUAUUAAAUAUGUGCUGCGAUGAAUAAUGCUAAUAUAACGUGCCUGACAAUUGAAAUAUGGACUAAGCAACUCCAUAUCUGUUAGCUAACUAUUCACCAUUAAAUGAAUUGCCUGACAAACUUGCUCAAAAGUCCUUCAAUCAUAUUUAAAAGGAUGUAUCAGAAGGGACGUUAGUGCAAACACAGUAUAUAUUCUCUUAAUAUAACUUGAAUUGAAUACAUUCUUUAACUCACUAAAUUCAUUAAUUUUGCCUCUUCAAGAAAUCUUAACUUCUCCAAACUUAGCACCUGAUUUAUUAACUCUCAUUUAUUUUUCUGCAUUUACUCUUCAUUAAAACCAAUCUUUGUUGAUUGAUUUCCUUGUAGAAUCUAAUUAUUAUCCAAGUGUCCUUGUCUCGUGACCCCUUCGAAUCUCGGUUCAUCAUUUGCAAAAAACUUCUUUGCACCUUUGUCAAAUCCUCAAAUUUUCACUUUAAGUCCCGGUCAAUUUUUUUAUAUUAACAUCCUCUAAAAUUUAAAAAUAAUAAAUAUAAAUAAAAAAUUAUUUAAUUUAGCUCAACUUAGCAAAAAAAAGAGAUCAUGUGGAUGUCGUGUGAUAAACAUUUGUUAAAGGGCAACUAUUUUAAUUAUUAAACCCACAUAUUGACUUGCAAAUCAAUAUACUCAAUCACCAUCCAUUACAAAAUCUCAAUGGACAAGCCAUGGACACCAACCCUUAAGACGCCUUAAUAGUUUAUACUCAAUUUAGACUUCAUCAUCUCAAUUGCAACACCUUAUAUGAAAGAAACAUUGGAGAUCAUCUAGAGCACAACACCUCGUAUGAAAAAAGAAACAAAAUCUUGAGAGUUUUCAGAGGUCUAGAGACAAAAUGGAGUGAUACUUGGUGGUUUAUCAUUGGUUGUAGCUGUAACAGUAGUGGGGAUUUUGCAACAGGAUUUUCAAGAAAAGUGGAUUACUUGGUGGAAUUUUUGGACUCGACAAGCUCAAUUUCAAAGAAGAGAGAAUAAAGAAAGAAGAAUAUGUAAAGGGAGGCAGGGAUGCAACCAAAACAUAAUCAAUCAUGGAGAUAUAAAUGAAGGGAAACAGUAAUGGCGUGAAAAAAUUUAACCAGAACUUAAGUGAAUAAUUAACAAUUUCAUGAGAACUUAAAGAACUUUUUUUACUAAAUAAUUUAAAUUUUAUUUUGAUAAAAAAUAUUUUAUAUUUAUUAAAUUUUUUAGGGUUUCAAACGUUAGAAAAUUUAAAAAUAUUUUAUAUUUUUAUUAUAUUUUAAUUUUUUAAAAAUAUUUUAUCCAAAAGAAAGCCGCAGAAUUGAAACUUUUUUCAGUACAAACUGCUUAAUUUGAUUUUUAUUGUUAAAUAAUUUUAAUUUUUAGUUCGAUUUAAUUUUUUAAUAAAAAAUAAUUAUAAAAAAAAAAAACUACGCCAAUGGAUUUGUAAAACUAUGUGGUAUUUUCCUACCUAUAUAUAUGAAUGAACUGAAGUUUAAAAGGCCGCUACCUUAUCACAGAAGACAAAAUCACGCUCUCCUCUGCUUCUCUUUCUUUUCUUUGUCUGAGCCUCUGCUUCUCUUAAACCCAACCAUCCAUUCUCAGUUUUUCACUCAUGCCGGUUCUUGCCAUCGCUUCUUCUCCUUCCUAUUGUUUAAUUCUCCUUCUGCCUUUCAGAUAUAUAUUUGGUUAUGUCAUUCUGAAAGGGAUUUGAGGAAGGGGAGCAUAUCCAGCCUUAUUUCUUCUUCCCUUGAACCGUUGGUGCUUCUUCUCCUUCUAAGAGCAAGUGAUCGCGUCGAGAGCACUAAUCAAGAAAGAUUGAGCUCAACAUUACCACUUCUAUAAGCCAUGGAUUUAGGUUAAUUUGUCUGGCGAUGGCUUAUGGAUGUAGAUUUGUUGUAUUUGUAAAAGGUAUGCUUCCUCGAUGCUUGCA
rnacentral:lncRNA from 1 species